GGCACCUCACGGGAAGUGUAGUCCUCCUUGCGGCUUCCGCCGCCCACAGCGCGAGGUGCCAGAACGACAUUUCCCAGAAGCUCCCGCGCGGGUCGCCUCCUCUUCAGCCCCGCCCACUGCGCGCCUCGCCCCACCUCCUUUCCCCGCUCCUGCCGCAGCGUGGGGGGUCUGGAACGUUCGCCGCGGGCCGGCGCGAGCCGCGGGGUGGGGGGUGCGGUGCAGUGCAGUGCGGUGCGGUGCGGUGCGGUGCAGUGCAGUGCGGUGCAGUGCAAGGCAAGGCAAGGCAAGGCAAUGCAAGGGUGUUGACCUGAACUUAUUCUGAGCAAAGCACCACGGGUGUGCGUUUGGCCCCUGAGCUCUGGAGACAACCGCAACUGCUCUGCAGAAGUGGUUCUUUCUGAACUGAUGACAUGUGGAAGCCCCAAAGCUCUGCAUCACGUGGCUAGAGAGAAAGAAGAAUAUGAACUCCCAUUGUGCCAAAAUGGCUGAAAAAUGUGUUCAGAAAGAUAAGCAGAGAGCGUUGUCUCAGCUGGGGCCCCCUCAGUUCCACUAGCGCCGGAGCAGAUCCGAGAGUAAAAGGGAGGGUGUGAGCGCAAGCAGAAGAGCGUGCUGGUGAAUGAUGAUGUGUACACUCAGGCCAGCUCUGGGUGAUGGGCUGGUGGAAGCAUCAGCAGUGUUUUCACACCUGUGCUCACGUGAGUGUGCAUACUCCCUUAUUACGAUGGUAGGACUGCUGAAGGAAAAUGCUUAUGUCAGCACAACCCUCUUUUAACUGUGUCACGAGUCUCCUCCAGCGUUUCUUCUAGAGGAUAUAAAUGUACUGGUGCUACCAACCAGAGGAGUUACAUCUUUAGCUCCAGUGGCAACAGCCAAUGCUUUUAGUGCUGCAAGUCCUAGAUUCAUCCCUGCGGGACAUCAGCUGUUACAUAAACAGGGCCUGUACGGGAUUAAAACUUUUACUGAUUCACGAUCUGGGAUUUGCUGUAAUCAGCACUGAAUCACGGCAAGAAAAGCGUAGCCAAACCAAAGAACCAAUGGCAGUUUCAACCCCAAGGCUUGCGAACCAUGGGCUGGGAAGUGACGCUUCCUAGAGGUGUGAAGAAUCUGCUUCCCUCUGCCCCAAAAGAAACCUGAGCAAUGGCUUUGAAGCAAAGCUUGAAACAGCCCCCAUUGGCCUGACUUGAGCCAUUGGAUCUGAUAAUCAAGUGUUGCUGCGUUGGCCAGGAAACACAGGCUCAGUCUCUGAAAGUGAUGGUCUUUAUUUAUCCAACUUUUCUACCACAUCUUUCCCCAUAAGAUCUGAGCACCUGCUUUACCUACUAGGGAACAUGAAGUGUAUGCUGCCCAGAGAUUUACUUGUGGCUACUUAACUGAGCUGAAUCUUGGACAGAAACAGAUGUUCUUUCAGAAGCUCUUCCAAGCCUGAGGAGCAUUGCAGCGCUUGUUUGGGUUAGCAGCAUCCCAAUUCAGAAUCACAUCCACUCAAAACCCUGUUACGCACAACUGCAAAACAGAGUUACUUGCGAGUCAGUGUGAGCCAAACACCUGGCAAGCCCAGAAGACACUGACUCCACCACUUCGGUGGGGACAGGCAUGGGGUUAGUGCAGUCACCAUUUUAUUGCUGGCAAAAAAUUAUGAUAAGAUGCUAAGAUGAAACAACUUUUCUCUUUGCCCUCAAGGAAAAGAUAUCCCUCAAAGGAGCAGCAAGAUGUGAUCUGACUGACUUCCAUCAAGACAUGUGGAAUACCAGGAGAUGUCUCAGGCUAACAGAAUGCAGGGUUGUCACAUCAGGCUUGCCAGCAGCUCAGCCUCCUCCCUCCAGCCCUCCGUGCCCUGCCAGACCAGCUGGGGAAUACAACAUUGCAACAUUUCGGUCAGACACAAGAAGGCAUCUCCCUUUAACGCAACUUCACAUAUGCCGGUGGUCAGCAGUUUGUCCCGCUCACCCCACCACAACUCCUUUCCUAGGCACGUCACAUGCAGCGGACAUGUUCUUCCUUCCCUUCCCCGCUGGGAUGCUCAGUCUGAACUGCUGGGGCUUGUGUCUUCUGCAUGAGUUUCCCGGGUUCACCCCUUCCUGACGAGUGUGCUGACAGCUGUUAUGCUUGCUGGUGCUUUUUUGCUCCCUCGCUGAUCAGAGCUCUCAGCCACAAAGUGCAGAACUCGUAAAUUAAUUGGAUGGCUCAAGGAAAAGUCCCAUGACCUCAAAUUUAGCCUGCAGCAUGGCAAACCUUAUCAAGUCCAGAAAUAGGGAGGUCUGGAGAGACCACAUUUGCCAGUGGAUACACGUACCUUUCCAUGCCAGGCCAAGGACUGUGGGUCUCCCUUCGUGCUGUCCCACAAGUCCUCAUCCAUGAGACUAUGCACACAAUAUCAUACAUGUUUAGUGCCUACUUGGCUCCAUCCAGAGCCACAGCACAGAGGUGAACUGUUUCUCCAAGAACUGUUUCUUGGAGAAACAGUUCACCUGUCAGGACCCCAUCCGCACGCGGGAGCAGGCUCAAACACAGGCAUGGUGUCAGGGAGCUACUCGCAGCUGCCAGCCCCAGGGCUGCCGAUGUCCCAAGGAGCCUGCACCCCUCAGCUAGCAGGGAAGAAGAGCCAUGCCAGCCAUCCUGCGUCCUGGAGGGCAAAGGCCUUCUCCCCCAUCCCAGGCGUAGUUGUGCAGAAAGGGGCUUGCAGAAUCAGAGAGUGAAAGACCCAGUGACAUGAGCCAACCCUUUCCUGGAUCUCAGCACUUUCCUUUGCACUGCACUGAUUUCCAGGGCACACACGGGGCAAGUGCCAAGUGACACCCCAUGGACACCUCCCUCUGCAGCACGGACACUCGCCAAGCUCCAGCCCUUUCAUUAGUGUCUCCUCAGUGUGACUGCAGCUCUGCAAGUGAUUCAUUCAGACAUUCGGGUACAUGUCCUCUAUGUUGUUUCAAUGCUGAACAGUCUGUGUUGCAGAUUGGAAACUGAGGGGAGUUGAGGCCAGCUCACACAAAGCAGUGAGAAAUGUUUUUUCCCUACUCUUUCCCCGGGAAAAUAUGGAAGAGGGAUAUGAUGGGUUUGGACCUAGAGAAAAGACGAAUCUUCCUUUUUCACCCUGACCUGUUUUAGGCAGGAGUUCAUUAAUAUCUUAAUACCCCAUGCAUUUGGCUUUUAUGCAAAUGACUGGUACUCACUUGAUCUUUGUGCAAAAUUAUUAGCCGUGUGGGUGUUCACACGCUGUGAUUGUGUUUCAGAGGAUAAGCCUCCCAGACUGAUCCAGGCAGAGCCAGCACUCCAGACUGCACCAGUACCACCCAUAACCUUCCCUUCGGUUCACGUUGGAAGGUGAACCUGCCUGGACAAGCUAAAGGUGUUCUACUUUCGUUCUUAAAAACUUCCAGAAGUAUCCAUGAUUUUUCAAGACAUGCCUUUUAGUUUGCUUUUAUAUUUUUAGGUUUUGAUCAUUUAGCUGUAUUUCUGCAGCAUUUCUGCUUGUCAGAUUUCUUGUUCGAGUGCAGAAGUAAAAGAGGUGCAAUACUGCACAAUGUCAGACAGGUUAAA